rnacentral:lncRNA from 10 species
UUAAAAUCCACGUUGGUUAAUUUGGGAAGAUUGUGUAGUUUCGGCCAGCAAUUAUGUGGAUCACUGUCCAACUUCCUGAAAAAUGACUGAGCCCAUGUGGCAGCUGGAAGGUCAUACGCACCCUUCCAGCCCAAGAAGGAUGCAGACAGCCUCUGCAGCCCCACCAGCCAAGGGAAGCAGAUCCGAGAACUGACCCAUCCCUCUUACUGGCUCCUUAAAUUAAUUUAGGAGUCAGACUGUCAUGAUGAUAUUGAUAGCAAUAGAAAAUGCCUAGGAGAGCCUUUCCUUGUGAAGAAAAAAAGAACUCGAAGACAGCGCUUCAGGGUUUUGCCCUGAAGUAUUUUUCCCGAUGGUAUUUAGCUGCCAAAGUGGAUGAAAUCCUUAACAUGAAGACUUUCUCGCCAAGAGGAGGAAGAUAUGAAUCAAGGAACCUCAUCACCCAAGCCUCAACACCCUAUGGAUAGAGUGGUCAUCUGCUUUCUCCCAAGACAGCCCAGGUUUAUGCCUCCUAUCCUGUAAUGGUUAUUACUAACCCUGCCUCCUCCCUCAUUUGCAUGGACCUUAAAUUAUUAGAUUUAUAAAAGUGCCAACUGUGUAGGCUAUGAAAAGUCAUAUGGUUUAUCGUCUAAAUCCCCACUCAUUACUGGAGUCCAUGUGGCCCUUCAGGAGCUGACCCGACCUACCAUUCCAGUGUAAUUUCCAGCAUUUUCCAAUGCACUCUGUGUUCCAACUCUGCUGAACUACUGGGUUCCCAGAAUGUGACAUGUUUGAUUUCUCGUGGUUUGUAUGUGGCGGUUCUCUCUGCUGUUGGGAAUUCAUUUUCCCCACAAUGUGCUCAAUCUACUCUUCUCCCAGACUCUUCUAAUACUAGCUCUUAGUGAAAUCUCACCUGGAAGCCUCCAUUCUUUGGUGCUUUGUAGAACUUUAACUCACUGCUGACUGUUUGUGGAUUCUACCAUCAGGCCCACUAUGUGUUAUGCCCAGUGCAAGUCUGUGUGAGGGAGAAAGAGAGGGAAGAAAAAGAAAGGAAGGAAAGAAGGAAGAAAAUAAACAUGGAGAGAAUCAAUAAAAUAGGCAUUAUUACUAUAGAGUCCAUAGCUGCUAAAAGGGAAACUGGAAUUUGGGAGUAACUUUUGCAUAAGACUGUGAUAUUUCUCUUUAAUUAUCUGUUCAUAUUUAUUUUCCUCUUGUCUCUUCCUCAUUGUUUAUAAUAAAGCUUCAAGGAAACCCUC